AUGAUGUCAAGUUUGCUGUUUAUUUCUGGCUUUUCUGGAAGUCCAAUUAUUCUUAAAUUAUCUCUUCUUCCUCUAUUUUCCAAGUCUGUCACCUUGUCAGUGAGAUAUUUUAUGUUCUCUUCUAAUUUCUUGAUCUUUUGGCUUUGCUUUAUUGAUUCUUGCUCUUUUACCUGCUUGUUGUCUUUGAGUUGCCUAAUUCUGACCUUUAAAGCCUGGUUUUCCUUUUCAGUUUGGUCAAACUGGUUUUGUAGUUGCGUGAAUUUCUUUUGCAUUAUUUCCCACUUUUCCUCCCAGAAGGCUUCCAUCUUUUUGAUCCUUUCUGAUUCAAAUUCUUCAUGGGUUUGUGGAGAGUUUCCAUUUCCUUUGGAAGGUUUCAGAGCAUUUAAAUUUCAUUAAGAUGGAAGUAGUGAAGUUGGAAACUUGAUUCAAAGAAAGGGGGAGGCAGGGAAAAGAGAGGAUGAUGAGAUAAUGGGAUAAGGAGAUGGCAAGAUCAAGUAAAAAGUUUUUUUUUAAAGAAUGAGAGAGGUCUGGGUAUGUUUAGAACGAGGAGGAGAGGGAGCCAUUAUGUAGAGAGAGAUUGAAGAGAGAGAGUAAUGUGAACUUGGAAAUUACUCCACCCUAAUUAGACAUACUUUAGGGGAAGAUAAAGUUGUAAACUCCUGAUUAAACAAUGAAGGUAUUGGGGAGAUUGAAUUGUAAUCCCCAGUCUAUUUUUAGAUUUUAAUCCCCAAAGUGUUAACUCAGUAUUUGAAGUAGAUCUACCCAUUUUAAUCUACAAAAAAGUAACUACUAAAGGUGCGAACUAACUACUAAAGGUACAAACUAACUACUAAAGGUGUGAUCUAACCAAAAAAGGUAUGGACACUCAUUUCAUGCAUUGAGUGGGAGGUCUGUGACCCACGUGUGAAAGAGUGGAUAGUCCUGGAGAAGAGCAUCUGCUGUGAUUGAUAGAUGUAAAAUUUAGGGGAGGUGACAUAAGAGAAAAAGAUCUUUAAAUAGAGGACCACAGAGGCCAGAUGAGAGAUGGUUCAGCUCUCUCUGUCUGUCCUUCUGUCUCUGUCUCUGUCUCUCUCUCCCUCCCUCCCCCUUUAUCUCAUUCCUUAAUAUCUUCGCUCUAUUGAAAAUAAACUACCACAAAUUCCAUUUACUUUAGUAAUU
rnacentral:lncRNA from 1 species